AGGCCUAUACUUUCAGGGAUUAUUUCUAUAGUCUAUUACUAAAGAAGUUUCUUUGAUGGUAUAGAGUAUCAGAAGCUGUGAGUAGGAGAUGAUGCUCUCAAGAGUGUGCAGCUGACUCAUAGUGUUGCUUUCCUCUAACUGGCAUUUGCCAUUGCUGAUUAUUCUCUUCCUCUGGAAAAAGUAAGAGGGUGAGGAUGUUGUCUGAGUGU
rnacentral:snoRNA from 1 species